AGAGUUUGAUCCUGGCUCAGGAUGAACGCUAGCGACAGGCCUAACACAUGCAAGUCGAGGGGCAGCGAAGAGGUAGCAAUACCUUUGUCGGCGACCGGCGCACGGGUGAGUAACACGUAUGCAAUCCACCUGUAACAGGGGGAUAACCCGGAGAAAUCCGGACUAAUACCCCAUAAUAUGGGCGCUCCGCAUGGAGAGCCCAUUAAAGAGAGCAAUUUUGGUUACAGACGAGCAUGCGCUCCAUUAGCCAGUUGGCGGGGUAACGGCCCACCAAAGCGACGAUGGAUAGGGGUUCUGAGAGGAAGGUCCCCCACAUUGGAACUGAGACACGGUCCAAACUCCUACGGGAGGCAGCAGUGAGGAAUAUUGGUCAAUGGUCGGCAGACUGAACCAGCCAAGUCGCGUGAGGGAAGACGGCCCUACGGGUUGUAAACCUCUUUUGUCGGAGAGUAAAGUACGCUACGUGUAGUGUAUUGCAAGUAUCCGAAGAAAAAGCAUCGGCUAACUCCGUGCCAGCAGCCGCGGUAAUACGGAGGAUGCGAGCGUUAUCCGGAUUUAUUGGGUUUAAAGGGUGCGUAGGCGGCACGCCAAGUCAGCGGUGAAAUUUCCGGGCUCAACCCGGAGUGUGCCGUUGAAACUGGCGAGCUAGAGUACACAAGAGGCAGGCGGAAUGCGUGGUGUAGCGGUGAAAUGCAUAGAUAUCACGCAGAACCCCGAUUGCGAAGGCAGCCUGCUAGGGUGAAACAGACGCUGAGGCACGAAAGCGUGGGUAUCGAACAGGAUUAGAUACCCUGGUAGUCCACGCAGUAAACGAUGAAUACUAACUGUUUGCGAUACAAUGUAAGCGGUACAGCGAAAGCGUUAAGUAUUCCACCUGGGGAGUACGCCGGCAACGGUGAAACUCAA
rnacentral:rRNA from 1 species